rnacentral:lncRNA from 12 species
CGAUACAACUCAAUAAUCCAUGGCAACAGUGCGUACUGAAACUGCUAUUUCUGAGCAUGCAUCUCGUCUGUGCUGAGGGCCAUUAACAUGCUUGUAACAGUGCCGAAGGGACUGAGCACUAACCAGCAGAAACAGGCAGGACUCGCAUUUAGCCUACAAAGAAAGCUCAGUAUUCACAGCCUCAGUAAUAUGAACAAGAGGACUCACACACUGAUUAAGUGUUCAGAUGCUGCCACUUUUCAGGUGUUGUACCUUUAAUCUCCUAUAGAAAAUAAGAUUAUGGGAUUAUAUUGUUACUUUAC